AGCUGGUAUGCAAAUGAGGAAGCCCCUCACCAAAUCUUGCACUAAAAACCCCUAAAACAACGAGCCAAUAUGGAAUUAAGAGAUCUAAAUGAUGUCUAAAGGAAGAACAGGACUACAUCAGACUUGCUUGUGUACAUUGAAAAGCAACCUAUUUACAGUGCAGAAAAAGAAACACUGCUUUACACUGCAUCAAGCUUCAGCUUUCAGAGUUCGUCCCUUUCUGUGAGCGCAGUGCCACGAGCUGUGCAGAAAAUGUUACACUUGUGUACGCUCUCUGCCCACUGACAUUACUGGCAGACUAUGCCUGGAAGAAGUUGUUUUGCU